AACGAACGCUGGCGGCGUGCCUAACACAUGCAAGUCGAGCGCGAAAAGGGCAACCUGAGUAGAGCGGCGCACGGGUGCGUAACACGUGGGUAAUCUGCCUUAGAGUCGAGGAUAACCUUCCGAAAGGUUGGCUAAUACUCGGUAAGCUUAAGGUAUCUUCGGACGCUGUGGGGACAGUCGGCCCUUGUUUUCAAGCUUACGCUCUGAGAUGAGCCCGCGGCCCAUCAGCUAGUUGGCGGUGUAACGGACCACCAAGGCAACGACGGGUAGCUCGUCUGAGAGGACGAUCAGCCACACUGGAACUGAGACACGGUCCAGACUCCUACGGGAGGCAGCAGUGGGGAAUUUUCCACAAUGGGCGAAAGCCUGAUGGAGCAACGCCGCGUGUGUGAUGAAGGUUUUCGGAUCGUAAAGCACUUUCGACUGGGACGAAAAACCUUUGGCUAACAUCCAGGGGUCUGACGGUACCAGGAGAAGAAGCACCGGCUAACUCUGUGCCAGCAGCCGCAGUAAAAC
rnacentral:rRNA from 1 species